rnacentral:misc_RNA from 1 species
AGAAGAAGCAGAAGCAGCAGCAGUAGAGAGCGGCAUUUAUUUUAUUGAUUUGCAAACCACUGAGAAUGUUCCAUGGCACGCGAUGCAUGGCGAUUGUGAGUCGCCGGCCCCGAACCCAAGGACAUCAUUUCCCCCCUCGCUGUAUUUGGUGAAGCGACUUUAACGUGUUUUCAUGACCAAAAACAGCGGCUGUCGCCCCGUGUUCAAAUCCAAACGGACAUCACACACAAAAACUCACUCCGUGCGCGACAUUCAAAGCACCAAGUAUUCAUCACUAUCAUCAUCAACUGUUUUAAGUGACUUUGGGACUAGAAUAAGGAUUAACAAUUAGCAUGUCGGUGGCUUCAGCAAAUGGCUUCAGCGCCGGAAGUGGCGGCGGCCGCGGUGGCGGUGGUGGCGGCAUCAGCGAGACCGAUAAUGUCUCCGCCCUUGAACUGCAAUCGAAUCGACGCAUGCUGUACUUCAGUGACGGAGUCAUGGAGGAGCUCUCCUCAUCCAGCGAUAGCGAGACAGAGGCCGACGUCCCCGAUAAGUGCUACAAUGUCCAGUUGGACGAGCGCGAAAUGGCGUUGGGGCCGCGCCUACGCUACAAGGCCAGCCGCGUGGGAAAUAAAUUCUUAGCCGGCAUCGACUAUGUGGGCGGUGGCCUGGCCUCCUUGCUGGGCAUCACCAGCGCCAAGUAUGCCACCGAAAUGGAGAACUACCAAAGGGCCAAAAUACAACUCGACGAGGACCUUGACAACAAUUGGCAGCCCCAGCGCUCGCAGAACAACAAUCACAACAACAUGAAUCGCAACGAGACCAUCGUGCUGUGUGCCCCAGCACGCAGCGGGGGGGCGCCGCCAUCAGAUGUCCCCCAGCCCGAGCUGCAGGGCCGGCAAUAGUAGGUGCUCGCUCAUCAGGUGAAAAAGGGUUCAGAGAGAAAGAGAGAGAGAGAGAUUUUGAUACUCCUUUUUACAAAAUGGUAAAACCAAAACGCGAUGAUAUUCAACUUUUC